rnacentral:rRNA from 1 species
UACGAAGGGGGCUAGCGUUGUUCGGAUUUACUGGGCGUAAAGCGCACGUAGGCGGAUCGUUAGUCGGGGGUGAAAUCCUGGAGCUCAACUCCAGAACUGCCUUUGAUACUGAGGAUCUUGAGUUCGGGAGAGGUGAGUGGAACUGCGAGUGUAGAGGUGAAAUUCGUAGAUAUUCGCAAGAACACCAGUGGCGGAAGGCGGCUCACUG